rnacentral:rRNA from 1 species
UACGUAGGGGGCUAGCGUUGUCCGGAUUUAUUGGGCGUAAAGAGCGUGUAGGCGGCCAGGUAGGUCUGGUGUGAAAACUCAAGGCUUAACCUCGAGAUGUCAUCGGAAACCAUCUGGCUAGAGUCCGGAAGAGGAGAGUGGAAUUCCUGGUGUAGCGGUGAAAUGCGCAGAUAACAGGAAGAACACCAAUGGCGAAAGCAGCUCUCUGGGACGGUACUGACGCUGAGGCGCGAAAGCGUGGGGAGCAAACAGG